rnacentral:miRNA from 1 species
UGGAAUGUUGAGAAGUGUGAUU